rnacentral:rRNA from 1 species
GACGAACGCUGGCGGCGUGCCUAAUACAUGCAAGUAGAACGCUGAAGGAGGAGCUUGCUUCUCCGGAUGAGUUGCGAACGGGUGAGUGACGCGUAGGUAACCUGCCUGGUAGCGGGGGAUAACUAUUGGAAACGAUAGCUAAUACCGCAUAAGAGUAGAUGUUGCAUGACAUUUGCUUAAAAGGUGCAAUUGCAUCACUACCAGAUGGACCUGCGUUGUAUUAGCUAGUUGGUGGGGUAACGGCUCACCAAGGCGACGAUACAUAGCCGACCUGAGAGGGUGAUCGGCCACACUGGGACUGAGACACGGCCCAGACUCCUACGGGAGGCAGCAGUAGGGAAUCUUCGGCAAUGGACGGAAGUCUGACCGAGCAACGCCGCGUGAGUGAAGAAGGUUUUCGGAUCGUAAAGCUCUGUUGUAAGAGAAGAACGAGUGUGAGAGUGGAAAGUUCACACUGUGACGGUAUCUUACCAGAAAGGGACGGCUAACUACGUGCCAGCAGCCGCGGUAAUACGUAGGUCCCGAGCGUUGUCCGGAUUUAUUGGGCGUAAAGCGAGCGCAGGCGGUUAGAUAAGUCUGAAGUUAAAGGCUGUGGCUUAACCAUAGUACGCUUUGGAAACUGUUUAACUUGAGUGCAAGAGGGGAGAGUGGAAUUCCAUGUGUAGCGGUGAAAUGCGUAGAUAUAUGGAGGGACACCGGUGGCGAAAGCGGCUCUCUGGCUUGUAACUGACGCUGAGGCUCGAAAGCGUGGGGAGCAAACAGG